GGUAACGAAGUGAUUAAUUCAGUGGUAGAAUGCUCGCCCGCCACGCGGGUGACCAGGGUUCAGUCGCCGGCCAUCGCACCA